GCUGCGGGCCGGGCGGGGGCCGCGGAAGCUGCGAUGCGGACGGGGCAGCGGCGGUGACCCGAGCUGCCGCCCGACAUGAACUCGCUGGAGCAGGCGGAAGGUAGGGAGGCCGCAGAGGAUGGAGCUAGGGGCCCGGAGCUUGGGGGCGCGUAGGCGGCCGUACCUGGCCAGACGCGGGGGGCGGUGCCUCAGCUCCCUCAGUCCCCACAAGCCUAGAGGGUCGACCUCCUCGCCAGCUUCUAUUUUUAUUUUCUUUUCAUUGGCAGACACUUGCACUUCGUGCAUUGCAGCCUGCUAAUUCAUUUCAUUUCAUUCUCACAGCCCCGCGAGUUGUAUCCCUGAUUCCUGCGGUGGUUUCCGGUAACUGCCAAGGUUAGGAAGUGCUGCUCGGUGUUUUAAAGUUUAAAGCACACCACUGCGGAAAGGAUACCCCACCACUCACUCGGAGCAGCUUA
rnacentral:sRNA from 1 species